GACGAACGCUGGCGGCGUGCUUAACACAUGCAAGUGGAGCGACGAACCGGGGCUUGCCCCGGGGCAAAGCCGCGAACGGGUGAGUAACACGUGGGUAACCCACCUCGAUGACCGGGACAACCCGAGGAAACUCGGGCUAAUACCGGAUGUGUUCCCAUCUCGUGAGAGAUGGGAGGAAAGAUAGCUUCGGCCUUCGCAUCGAGACGGGCCCGCGGCCCAUUAGCUUGUUGGUGGGGUAACGGCCUACCAAGGCUUCGAUGGGUAGCUGGUCUGAGAGGACGAUCAGCCACACUGGGACUGAGACACGGCCCAGACUCCUACGGGAGGCAGCAGUGGGGAAUCUUGCACAAUGCGCGAGAGCGUGAUGCAGCAACGCCGCGUGGGGGAAGAAGGCCUUCGGGUUGUAAACCCCUUUCAGUUGGGACGAAGCUUCGCCGGUGAACAGCCGGCCGGAGUGACGGUACCUUCAGAAGAAGCCCCGGCUAACUACGUGCCAGCCGCCGCUGUAACAC
rnacentral:rRNA from 1 species